GGGUUUAAAAGGUUUAAGAGGCUAGCUGAAGCUUACCAUAAUCAAUAAAAUGUUGUUUGCACUGCUGACUCUAAUGGAUAACGUUUGGAGUUGUAGUUAUGUCCAGAAGUCCAGCCGGCCAUGCCCCUGGUUGUUGUACCAAAUGUAUCAGAGUCUUAUUCCUACUUAGUGGGAAUAGAAAGGUGUAUUGAGAAUUGAUGGCCUUGCUGACCUUUAUGUUAGUAUAUGGUUUUAAAGUACAGGUCUUUCUAUUUAAUGAUGCAUGUUCUUUCAACAGAUAAAGGUGGAAAAGUUCUAAAUAGAAAGGAUGCGUGAAAAUAGGCGACGUCGGCCAAUAAUUUCUCAAUCUUCACAACGAUUACUUAAACAAAUCGAUAACGCCUAUUAGCAUUAAAUUGGGUACUGAAUACUGCCAGAUAGAGCACUUGGCAUGGCCAUGUUUAGCUUAGGAGUUAAAACCUCGAAAUUUUUUACUAUAACUAUAUAAAGAUAAUAUGUAAUGUUCCAAACAAUAAAGAAAGACCGAAUUCAUUAACCUUGGCCUACUGCUUCGUGCUAAAAUUGUAAUAUAAUAAUGUCCAACUAUUAGCCUAGAUUUGUAAACUGUCACUACGUGAAGAUAACACCUACUGAACACCUAAUAUGAUCACACAAAUUUUCAACAUCUUGAGAUUAAUUAGUAUGCCAUGAUUACUCAUGGUAUAUAUUAAUAUGAAUGACCAAGCUAAGACAUGUACUUUAUCUUGUUGUUGAAUCAGUUGGAGUACACGUACCAUAGCAGAUUAAAUGAACCAAAUUGAGAUGAUGGAAUCAAUUUAAACUACAGGAACAAAACUAAAUAGGUUGUUCUUGAUCAGAUACUGAUCAGAUGGAAAAGUCAACAAUUGAAAAAUAGCAAAAUAGAGUAGAAGUAGUAGUCGUACCUAUUUUGUACUAAGAGUUCUCAAACAUCAGCUUGUAUCUUGAGCCCUGAGAAUGAUAGCCUGCAAAAUAUAUAUUUCCAGCCACGAAUAAAAGUUGUUUUUAGAUUUAGAAUAUCCAAAGUACUGCUGGGAUGAACAAAUAUAGGUAUUUUCACAAUUAACUUCAUACGACAAUUAACGUAAAUAUAACAAAGAUAUAAGGCUAGAGACAUAUAUUUUCUUCUUUUUUUUUUUUUUUGGUAAAUAGGCUAGAGAUAUAUUGUCCUAUUUAGGGUAUGUUUUAUAAUGAUAGAUUGAAAGUACCGUAACAUGAUUAAUGGGCUAAGAUAAAAAAGUAAGUUGUCUAUAAGUCAAACCACUCAAUCAUAGUCUAUUAAUCAAACACAAAAGCUCAAAUAGGUGAACAUACAUUGACAAGAACACGUAGAAUAACUCAUACUCACAAUAAUAAUAAUUAAACGAAACGGGUAUCAAUACCAAAAGCAUAACUGUCUGGACUAUAUUAUUACAGCGAAAUAGGGAAUGUGACCAGAUGAUAUUGAAGGACGACCUACUUGUUCACCUGACGAUGUACUAUAUGUACAGGUUGACCAGGCUUGUAUCUGCUACUGUAUAUGUUGAUGUAUAAAAUUCAACUUGAAAAAAAAAAAUAAUAAUAAUAAUAAUAAUAAAAUAAAAAAUAAAUGCUAUUGUUUAUGUACAACUUGCUUUAAAAUGCUACUGUAGUGGGAUCAAGUAAUUGAUUGAAAUAGUAAUGUAUCAUCCUACAUUAAAAUGUUUAGGUUUACCUUUUUGACAUAGUAAUGAACAACAUCUCAUUGCCUACCAAAAAACAAAAAUGAACAUCUCAUUUAUGCUAAAAUUUAAAAGACAACAGUAAAAUACCUGAAACGCUAGCAAAUUAGAUGUUAUUGGUUAUGUGGCAGAAGUUGAUGAAGAAAACAGAUGAGGGUACCUGUAUGAAAGAGUAGUCUGGUAAGUACCUAUAUCAAAUGACAAAUAUAGAUUACCUGUAUAAAUAACAAUAAUAUUGAUCUUUAAUUUAUAAGUAACACGAAAUGCCUGAUUCAUUCAUCUAUAUUGCCAGAAGAAGAUUCAUUAGUCUUCCAGAUGUGUGCAAUUCUCUUUUCCUAUAUUGUCUGGUGAUAUUUUCAUGUUGACAGCUAAGAACUGUAACACAUGCAUUUGAACUACACGUAGCGGUUGGUAUGUUCUGAAUGGAUGGGAUCAAUAUCAAAUGGCAAGGUUAGUUCUUCUGGUUUUUUUUGUUUUUUUUUUUUUUUUUGCAGGGGAAGAUGGGAGCACCAGGUGACUGGCAAGUGGCAAGACACAGGUUGCUGAAGGCUACUCGUUUGUAUUUACGCGAAGAUCAGGAAUGUAACUUGUUUGAUUGAGACCAAAUAAACUUUGACAUUUAUAUUAAAAGAACAAAAGGUCAUAAGACCGGACAAUCAAUUCAGCUAAAAUGCUAAGGUUCAUAGCCUAAUUCAAAAUAGUUUGACGGUUGCUUACACCUUGUAAAAAUAGCAAGUAACCUAUGCAAGGGAAUGCGUGCAGAUAUAUCAUGUGAACUAACUUCAUAACCCUGACAAUCUGGCCGAUUCAAUACACGAAAUGUUUCUGAUUGAGUGCCACAGGUAGCUUCAAAAUGAUAUCAAACCAUUUCCAAAUAUAAUUACAUGGAUUGAAUUUCAGGUUGGCCAAACUCAGUAGCUUGCCAGCUAAUUACAUGGAUGGAAAAUGGUAAUUCUCCUAGCUAUAUAUUAAUUAAUGGCUAAAUUUAGACAUUAAGAAAUCUAACACUAUUAGUUCAUCCAUACCUUCUCACUGCAAAGUGGAAAGAUCAUGGAACCAAAUUUUAAGCAGUUUAAUCUUAUUCACAUAGAAAAUACAAUUGUGUGCAGAUCUGCACUCCUACACCCCAAUCAUAUGGUAUUUUUUAGAAAUUAGUUUAAUGAUCUUUAUUAAAGUAACAUAUGAGGGAAUACUAUACUAUUGCAUCACAAAUCAGUGUGUUGAAACUAUGAUUUGUUGGUUACAUAUUGUCUAAUGGCUUUGCUAUAUGAUGAUCAACAUUCUUAGUGAAAUGUCAUCCAAUGAGCAAAGGGUAGUUAAGCUAUACAAUGAGCUACGAUGUUGUCAUCCAUCCUACUUAUUAAUUAGUUGGCUAAUUAACUUUAUUAAUUGUUUGGUGAAUGUGAUGUCAAACAAUUUUUUUUUUCUUCCUUUGGCUGGAAAUGAUCCACUUGAAUACAUUUAUUUCAUAUACAAAAUUAAAGGAUGGUUGCUUUUCUGUACAAGGUGCCAGAUAUUAUACAUACAAGGCAAUCCAAGGUUCCAUGGCCAUGGCCCUGUUCUUCAAAUGACGUUAGCCCUUCAAUUUCAUCAAACGUACAUAUGACACCAAACUGUUUGGUCUGACUAUUCUGAUAAACCUUUGGAGAGGCAUGACACCAACCUGAGUGUUUUAAAACGGAUCUUGAAGUUUAAAAAUGAUUACACCGACCCUACAGGCCUAAUGUCUGAGGUUGCAUCAGAUGUUUUGAAAGAAAUGCCAUUAGUGAACACGCAUGAGCCAAGUUUGGUGGGUUUUACUACUGGUUUUAUGAAUUGGAAGUUUCUUUUACAACUGAACUGGAUGGUAUUUACACUCUCCAUGCGAUAAAGAGAUUAGGUCAUUAUCAAUAAAGCAUGAAGAGUGAAAAUUAUGCUACUUAGGAAUUGUGUGUAUAUUGUAUAGUGAUCAAAAUUUUAAGAUUGCAAUUGUUUAUUAUUUGAAAGCUUAACAUUAUCAAAAAUCAAAAUUUAAAUUUCAAAACUAACUUCAUACCUUAUCAGCUGUAACCCUUACUUCCUCGACUCUAAAGUCUCACCGAUUGAUCUGGUUGAACAAUGUAUAGAAUUUAAAAUUAAACACAUGAUAAAAAUAAAUUUUUUAUUAAGAAGCAUUGCCUCAAGUACUUAAAAUUUGAUGUACCGGAAUUGUAGAGAUGCAGGGCUGCUUAAAAGUUUGGCAAUUAAGAAGAUUGGUCCAAAGUUUAAAAAGAUGAUACAGUAGAAGAGAAAGAAGGGAAGAGAAAAUAAAGCAGGUUGUAACUGAAUAAAUUUCGGAAUAUCAGCAGCAAUCAAAAUUAAAUUUGACAGCAGCAACCAUCAAAAUUAAAUUUUAAAACUUAGAUAACCAUAAAACUGUGAAGUCAAUUAAAUCAAAAUUGAAUAAAUUUCGGAAUAGCAACAACAAUCAAAAUUAUGAGAGAAAGGGGCAAAGAGAGAGAGAGGAGAAUUAAAAGAAGAAUUAGUGUUUAUUUUUAGAGUAAUUGAGUUACCUUAAACUUGACGAGGAGGAGAAGAAUUCCCAGCAGCAACUUGAUGAGGAGGCUUCGCUGAGAAGAGAAUUUUUAGAGUAUUGUUUUAUCACUGAUGUGAAUUUAUAUAGAGUUUAUGGUAUUCCAUCCAUUGUUUUCCAGCCACAUAUAGGUUUCGUAUUGUUUUCAAAAUAAUGUUUAUGUUUAAUUAGGGUUUAUUGUUUUAUCCCAACCGUCAGAUCAAAUAUCAACAUCCUACGGUCUCAGUUAUCUCUUAUUAUGUUUGUACUACAUGUUUGAGUAUUGUGGCAAAUGUAAAAUCAUUGAGUAUUGAGUAUUGAGUAUAUAUGGUAAAUAGGUUCCAAUCAAUUGAAAACAUUGAAUUAGAUGAUCUGCCUGACUUGCAUGAGUGUUCUUUGGCAAUUGGGAUUAAUGAAUAUGAACAACAACUUCUUUAGUUCCUUUGUCUUAAGAAAAUGAUUAUUAGAAAAAUGCCACAAAUUUAAAAGACUCGCAUUAUCAGUAACUAUAUAUAUAUAUAUAUAUACAUUGGUAAAGUGAAGGGAAGGUUUCAUAUAUACUUUCCAUGGGUUCAUUUGGCAACCCUACAAAAUUUACCCAACUGUUACCCUUUUCUUAGAAAGGUCAAAGGUGGUACCACACAAAGUUGGACAAUGAGUAAUAACAAGCCAUAUAGCAAAGUUUUGCGGUCGAGUGGGACUGAACCCAAAGUAGUUAUAUGAACAGUAAACACAAACCACAUACAUCUGUAGCAGGCACUACAUACCUCAGAAUCUGCUUUUGUGAUCCACUUAGAACCAUCCAAAGAGGAGUCCUUCGAAGCAGUGAUAUAUAGCACGAGUUGCUCACUACAUAAAUAGGAAGGGAUCAAUAAUUCAGCAUAUCCAAGUAAUAUUAUUUGCAGGUAACCCCAGCAACAAAAAAAAAAAAAAAAAAAUCAAUUCAAUCAAGUACACUUAUCAAGAAAGAAAGAGGUUACGUAAAACCAAAAACUCAAAAAGUAGAUGGAAAUUUAGAGUGUUUACCUGUACUGGAGACCACAAAAUUGAACUUGAUCCAAAGAAGAAGAGAUUAGCUCACUUCACUCCUUGCUUCAAAACAAAGCAGCAAUGUAUUCAAAGGUUUUUGGCCGGUUUGCUGUUUCUUUUCUCUCACAAUAUGUAAUUCAAAUUUCCAUCUAACUCAGCUUUUCUAAAUUUAUAUUGGACUGUUGGUGAUGAAAAGGCAGACUGAGCACAUGCAUUGAGUAGCUAAACGACCAUUGUAGGGUUGCGCCUAAGAACUUAUUUUCAUUAUUGGAUCUCCUCUACAAACCCGAGUAAGUGUAUUAGAUAUGGACAUUGUUGUUCAUACAUAUUAAGUUCCGAAAAAGUAAAAACCAGAUAUAAGAAGUGAAAUUGUUAUCUAUUACAGUAUUUGUAUGAUUUAAAUGUUUUUAUCACAUCUUUUAAAGAACAAAAAUAAGAAAUACUGUAUAUCUUAUGGUAGUUCUAGUUAUCCAUUGAGAAAAUGGAGGGUAAUUGGAAAAUACAAUUACCGUAAGAUCUCCAAUAAGACACAUUUGGAUAAAGUUAACAUAUCCAAAGGCUCCUGAACAUUAAGUUAUUCCUAUACAGGUAGAGACUGAAACAUCCAUUGCAAUCUUCUAUUUAACUUCUUAUUAUUGAGUAUUGAGUAUAAAAUAUUACAAUUUUUUAUCAAAGAUGAUUAUUAUUACCAAAGAGAAACUGUGCAGUCAAUUAAAUUAAAAUUUGAAUAAAUUUCUCAAGUACAUUACUUGAGAUUUCAGCUUUUUAAGAGAUUCCAGUUUGUUCAUCUGAUCAUUCACUAAUAUUCUUUUAGCCAAAAUUAAAUUUUGGAAUAGCAAGCAGUAAUCAAAAUUAAAUUUAAAAACUUGGAUAAGCAUACCUUCAAUUAAGAGCUUUUGAAUCAGCUAUUUGAGGGUUUGGAAGAGAGAAGAUUCUUUAUUUGUUAGUUAUCAAAAUUAUGAGAGAAAGGGGCAGAGAGAGAGAGAGAAGAAUUAAAAGAAGAAGACGCGGGUUAAGAAAAAAUAGUGUUUGAUUGCAAUUUCAAACAGCUAAACCUGGUGAUUGCAAUUCUGAAUUUUCGAAAUUGGUUUAAUUAGAUUUUUGCAGAGAUGAUUGCAAUUUCAAAAUUUUCAAAACGCAGAAAAGAGUGAUGUAAGUACCUGAUUAGAGAGAGUGAAGCACAGAAUUUGUGUAAUCUACACUUGAAGAGAAAUCCUAAAUAAUGUUGUCGACAGAAUUUCGAGUGAGAAUUUGUGUAAACUUGAUUAGUCGACAGAAUUUCGAGUGAGAGGAAGAGAACUAAGGUUUACGAAAGAGGAAGAAGGGUUUCAAAAAUAUACACCAUGUGUUGUUUUCAACUUUUAAUCAUAUCCCAACCGUCUGAUCAAAUAUCAAUAUCCUACGGCCUUAGUUGUCUCUUUGUUUGUCUAUUGACA
rnacentral:lncRNA from 1 species